UGAGACGAUUUAGUAUCAUUGAGUUAAAAUAUUUAAAUACAACAGAAAGAAAAAGAUAAAUCAAUCAACUACUGUGUUACAAGAGAUUAUCUCAAUUAACCUAAAUGGUUACAACAGAAGAAAUUCUAAAAACACCAGGUGAUCAAAUCCUAUCUGUAAUAUUAAUAUAUAUCACCUAGCCACAUUGAAAAAGUAAGAAAACAAAUAAAAAAAAAAUAAAGAAACUGCUACUAUAUGGUCCUGUCCAGAAACAUCAAUGAAUUUAAAGUAAUUCUAUCUCUGUCAUAGUUGAUGAUCUCUGCAAAAUUAGCUGCCAAAAUAGACUACAACUAACCUUUGGUGGCUUGGAACUUUAACAAAAGUUAUUACCAUCUUAUUAAUUGUGCAAAUCAAAGAGAAGAAAGAAAUGGGAAAAUAAGUUAGAAUUUUUAGGUGUGAGGCUCCUAAUUCCCUGAACAUGAACUUGCUCCCACAAUAUCUUCACUUGUGUGCUUAAUAGAAAUGGAUGUGGGUGACAUAGGCAAAGUUAUGGUCAAAUGCAAAAUAAUGGUGGAGAAGAUUCUAUGUAGAUUAUGUUCCAUACUGAGGAAAAAAUAUUCACCAGACAGUAUAUUUAUAUAUGUUAUCUUCUUUUGAUUAUUUGGACCAGCUAAGGUGCAAAACCACCAUAAAUUUGGGGAUAUUUGUUGGACAAAUAUCUUCACCAUCUUUGUCUGGCCUAGCCCAUCCCUAGCUAGCAACCCUUUUUUAAUCGAACCCAGUUAUGCUUCUCUGCUUUGACAAUUUCUUAUGUUUCUUUAGUCUCACUUCAAUGAAAGAGCACUCGGACUAUAGCCCAUACUUGGGACUUAAUAAUUAGAUUAGACCCACUUCUUAGUGAACUCAUCAAAUUAACUGAUCAUAACAUCAAAUGAAGUAGGGACUCCCAUAGAAGUUCUGAUGGAUGAGCUUUUAAGAAUGUCAGGUCAUAAUAGUAUCAUCUGUUUCAAUUUAUGAUUUAAUAGUACUCCCUAUAAAUGAAGGAGAAAUGAUCAAAACAUUUAGGAAGGAUUCAAUGUGAAAAAGUGAAUUGUGCGUAUUAGGAUCGCCCGUUGACAUGGAUUAACGGUGCUAUCUAUGUUAAGUUUUGUCUAAAUUUAUUAUUAAUAAAAUUUUACUCAUAAAAAAAUUAAAAAAAAAAUUGAAGAUAACUUUAAUUAAUAAUUUAAGUAGAAGAUGAAGAUAGUUUAAUUAAAACCAAAGCCUUCGUGUAUGAAAUAUCAGUCCCCUCUAGCUCCACCUUCUGUAUCAAAGUAGGAAUGCCCUCCCAUGCUGCUGCUAACACUUUCCACGAAAGCAAAUCUCAUAUCUUCGGAUGGUUUCCAAUGCCGUUUCCGCUGGUUGAUGAACCAGUUGUUGAUCUGCUUUUGAUCUAGGCCAGUAAUCUCUGAUAACUUCACCUUCUCCUCUUCCGUAGGAUAUGGCCAUCUAUAAUGAUUAUUCCACCAGUCCAAAAGAAUCAUCCUCGCAUCCUUUGGUAGCUUGCCUUUCUUUCUUUUCUUUGAGAAUUCCUUUCUUAAAUUGCUAAGAUAACCACUGUACUUGCGCAAGAGCAUUCCUUUAAGAUCUUCAUCACAAGGCCGCCCACCACCUGAAGAUUCUUGACUUUCUGACGCUUCAACCUCGCCACAGCUCAACUCCUCGUCUGAAGUUCCUGCGGCUUCAUCAGAGGCAUAAUAAUCAAAGGUUUUUGUCAGUGUUCCUUUACAAAGAUUACUCAGUUGUAAUUCUAUGUUGCCCAAGAAUGUAGUCGCCUCAUCGAACGGCCUGGAUAGCUCCUCCUUGUAUCUAUGGAGUACCUCACAGUACGAUUCCUUGAAAAAACAACAGCAGUUUUUAGGCCCUAGCUAAUUGUUCCAAGAAUGUUAAUUACUAUUAGAACAUAAAUUACACUAAUAAAUUAAUGUUCCUUUUGAUGGCUAUAAAAAGCCAGGAAAGAAGACGUUAGAAAAAUUUAGAAUCUUGUAAUUUGGAUUAGAAUAAGAGUUGUGAGAUUCAAAGUAGAGUUGUCUCAUUUCUUUUUUCAUGAAUUUUCUUGAGAACCAAACACACGAGGAAAGUGAAAUUAAAGACUUUAUGAAAAAUGAAACUUUGGCUUUCACCAUGAACUCGUCAAGUUCUGGAUCAGCUCCUACAUCGCUGCAGCAACUCUUGAUUGAAUACUUGUCCCCGCCUAUUUCUUCAAGAAGAGACGCCAUUUCUGGUGGUGCACCAACCUUUUGGCAUUCUAUGUAAGCAGAUACUAGGUCUGGAUAACGAGGGUGAUUGGCGAUCUGGGUCUUGAUUAGAUCAACCCUAUUUGAUUCAAAAACUUGGGCAUGACCACCCGCUUGAAAUUGAAGUAAAUUACCAACCGAAGUGUGAAAGUCAUGAGUAGCAGCAGUAGUAGUAGAAGGAGGAGAAGAAGAAGCAGUGAAGUUUGCAGGGAAGUUUUGAACUGCUACAAUAUUUUCCGAACAAGAAAUAGUAGGAUCAAGCCUAUACAAAUCCUCCAUGGAUGUUUACACGCGCAGAAGACGGUCCUAAAAGUAUCAAUCUGGAAUCUUGAAAUAAGCUGAUGAGCUUUUUCAAGAGAUCUUUAACCUGGUGAUGAUAAGCUAGCAAGCCACUAAGAUGGGCAAUAUCUUCAGGCAUAUAUAUCAUCAAAAGACUCGGACAAAAUCUCUUCAAGCACGAAAGACUAAAGAGCAGCUGAUAAGAACAACUCCAAACCCAAGAAUCCCAUAAGAGAGAGAGAAUUAGCGAAGAAAAAUACAGUUAGUACUACUUGUCAUCUUCUUCCAUUUCUCGUUCUUCUAGAGCUAAAAAAUACAGCUAGUAUUAGGAAUAAGAUGCACGAUCUAAACUCUAAACAGUAAAACCAAGGAGAGAGAGGUGAAGAGGAAGUUUCAGUUACUAACUAGCAGCAACAAGACCCCAUUAAAAAAAAGCUCGAAAUUCAAGAGAGACUACAGUAGAUGCAGAAUAAAACCCAAGUGAGGUUUGAUUUUGAAGCACCCAUUACAGUGACUCCAAGUUCGAAAAAUCCCAGUUACAGAAAGAGAGAGAAAGAGAGAAGUCCUAAUCUUAUGAAGUAACCUGAACUGGGCUUGGAAAAAGACCAGACCUAACUUUCUUUCCCAAGAAGAGGGCUCAGAUAAAGUGGACAGAGAUAGAGAUAGAGAUAGAGAUGGAGAGAGCAUGUAACAAAUGCUGAAAACCU
rnacentral:misc_RNA from 1 species